rnacentral:lncRNA from 1 species
GCUGCUGCUUGGGGGGCACUGCACCCAGCAGCUCCUUCCUUCCAGGAGGGAAAAAUAUAAACCCGAGAGAUAAACAAGGAAGGGACGAGUUUCUUUCCUAUUAUUACUAUUUUUAUUUAUUUUUUUUUAUUUUUAUUUGUGGCGCAGGAAGUCAAUAAGGCUGGAGGAAAUCACCUGUGUUUUAUUAUCACCUAUUUACACUUUCAGUGCUAUUAAAAUAGGAGCCUGGGCUUGAGCUGCAGGGAAUCAAAGCAUUUAAUGGUGCAGACGCGAGCCCUCUCUCCUCCCUCCCCAAAGGUGAUUCGGACCGGUUUAAACAAAUGCGCCUUCGUCUGUUAAAAUAAUUAUGUGAUUUAGAGGUGGUUUUCCCUGGCUCGUAUCAAAUGACUUUAAUGGGGUCUGCUUGUGUGCGAGUAUCUGUUUAACCAGUUAUUGCUUUUUAAAGCUGCAUUUAUUCCCCAGAAUUCGCCAGAAGAGUAAUUCUCUCUGAGAAGGGAUUAUUUGUGCUCCGCCAUCGCUUGGUAUUUAUUCCACAGUGCAUUUAGUAGUGAAAUGGUGCCCAGAGGGCAGAGGCCAAAAUGUGAUCUAAAACGAAGUGAUGAAAUUUGGGAACAACAUCCUCUGGAUGCUCUACCAGCUGUGAAGUUUCUCUUCUUUGUUUCCUCUUUUCAGCCUGGUUUCCAGAAAAACAAGGCUUUUGAGGUUAAAGAAGCAGUUUCCACUGGAAGUAUUUUUUUUCCCAUGUAGUUUAAAUCUCUUCUGGAGGAAGGAAUCGGAUCAAUUCGUACAUCCUUUGUGCCUGCAAUAGCUGCCAUCGCAAAUAGCCGCAGUCCCUGCCCUGACACAGUGCUGCACAGCAGAGCUGUUACUCUCUGUUGACCUUCCAUCUCUCUGCAGAACCAGAGCAAACCACUCCGGCUCCUUUUAAAUGCUCUUUCCUGCUGCCUGUACCACCAGGUGCUCUGGUCAGACCCUGUCCUUGUGUGGUGCUGGGUGGGUGCUCGAGUGGGUCCUGUGAAUGAGGCACCAGGAAACACAUUGGUACAGACUGGUGGUUGUUGCAGACCGUGCUGGCCUCGGUCCAUCAUGUCCUUUUCCCUCUCCUCCUUGUAAUCACAUUCUUUGGGUGCUUGUUCAGUCGCCUAUUUCACAAUUAAUGAUUAAUUACAGGCUCUGCCUUGGACUUCUCUCUAAGGGACAGCGAUGAUUCACCUGGCCAUGCCCUCAGCACCCACGGAUGUAAAUGCCCUUUCUGUUGAAGUGCUGGGCUCUGACGCUGGGAUUGAAAUGAUUCACUUGCAUGAUCUGAGCUGGGCUGGGUGAGCCUGGGCCAGCCCCGCACGGACACCAGCACCUGCGUGCCUCAGAGCAUCACAGGGAGCUGGGCACGGCAUGAAACCUGUCCUCCGCUUUCCCCUGGAGAUGGGCAUUUGGCCGUUCCUGCAUCCUGCUCAGGGGAUGGCCCUGAGGACCCUCCGAAAUCUCUGGUGCUGGGAUGCGAGCCCCCUUUGCUCAUCUCCUGGCUGGAGGGA